rnacentral:rRNA from 1 species
GACGUAGGGGACGAGCGUUGUCCGGAUUCAUUGGGCGUAAAGCGCGCGUAGGCGGUUACGCAAGUCGGUUGUGAAAAUCCGGGGCUCAACCCCGGACCUGCAUCCGAUACUGCGUGACUAGAGGUAGGUAGGGGAGAUCGGAACAAACGGUGGAGCGGUGAAAUGCGUAGAUAUCGUUUGGAACGCCAAUGGUGAAAACAGGUUGCUGGGAGUGUGCUGACGCUGAGACACGAAAGCCAGGGGAGCAAACGGG